UACGUAGGGGGCAAGCGUUGUCCGGAAUCAUUGGGCGUAAAGAGCGUGUAGGCGGCCAGGUAGGUCUGCUGUGAAAACUCGAGGCUCAACCUCGAGACGUCGGCGGAAACCAUCUGGCUAGAGUCCGGAAGAGGAGAGUGGAAUUCCUGGUGUAGCGGUGAAAUGCGCAGAUAUCAGGAAGAACACCCGUGGCUAAAGCGGCUCUCUAGUACGGUACUGACGCUGAGACGCGAAAGCGUGGGGAGCGAACAGG
rnacentral:rRNA from 1 species